rnacentral:rRNA from 1 species
GAUGAACGCUGGCGGCGUGCUUAACACAUGCAAGUCGAACGGAAAGGCCCAAGCUUGCUUGGGUACUCGAGUGGCGAACGGGUGAGUAACACGCGGGUGAACUGCCCUGCACUUCGGGAUAAGCCUGGGAAACUGGGUCUAAUACCGGAUAGGACGAUGGGUUGGAUGCCAUUGUGGAAAGUUUUUGCGGUGUGGGAUGAGCUCGCGGCCUAUCAGCGUGUUGGUGGGGUAUUGGCCUACCAAGGCGUCGACGGGUAGCCGGCCUGAGAGGGUGUAGGGCCACAUUGGGACUGAGCGGCGGCCCAGACUCCUACGGGAGGCAGCAGGGGGGAAUAUUGCACAAUGGGCGCAAGCCUGAUGGAGCGACGCCGCGUGGGGGAUGACGGCCUUCGGGUUGUAAGCUCCUUUCGCUAGGGACGAGGCGUUUUUGUGACGGUACCUGGAGAAGAAGCACCGGCUAACUACGUG